UAAGGUGGUUAUAGCAAUGGGGCUCACCUCUUACCAUACCGAACAGAGAAGUUAAGCCCAUUAGCGCCGAUGGUACUACUAUUGUGGAAGAGUAGGUCGCUGCCUUUU
rnacentral:rRNA from 2 species